CUAACUUGCCCCCGAUUUGCCCAAAGAGGGACAAAGGCCAGGGAAGCUGCUGGCAAGUGUAAGGGAAAUGCUUUUGUUCAGGAGAGAUCCUAGCCAAAGCUCCUAGGAAUUUUUCCAAGCCCAGCCCUUAGGAAUUUGCCUGGGUGGAGUUAUUCACACCAGAGAUGUCAGGCAGGUUUAGACCCAUGGGUUCCUCUCUGGCUUUCCAAGCAGCCAAGAGCGACAUUUCCCAAAUCCAGGACACAAGUGCCAGUAAGAGCAGUCCAGUCACUGCACACCCUAAAUGACCAGAUAUCCCAUUUUAUUGUCACCAAGUCAAAGGCGCUGGAGGAGGACCAAGACCCUUUUCUUCCCACUGAGAAGGAGACGCUCAAGAGUUCCAUGAUAUUGAUGAGGCACCUCUUAAUGGAUGCUCAGUGCUUUAACUGUAAAAGAAAAUUUGGAAAAUACAAGAUUUACAGAACUAAACCUGGAUCUCCGUAUGUGACAUGCAGCAAGGCCAAUCUACUGACACUGGAUUGUGGUGAAGGAAAAUACAGCAUUUAUUUCAGGGCCAAGCAAGGAGAAUGAGCAACACAUACUCAAAGACCCAAUCCCUUUGGCAGAGGGUUUUAAUGACAGUGUGAGGGAGAGGGCUGCAGAGUGCCUGAUUGGCCUAUACACAGUUCUCUGAUUGGCUGUUGAUGAGGUAAUAGGGUGAUGUUUCAGAAAUCUCAGUCAUCAACCUUCUGGUUCCAACUAGUAUUGGAUCUAUGUGCUGGUUGCUGUUUUUGUUCAGUUGCUGUCACGUCCAGCCCUUUUGCUGGACUGUAGCCCAUCAGUCUCCUCUGUCCAUGGAAUUCUCCAGGCAAAAAUACUGGAGUUGAACAAAAAGAGUGGCCAUUUCCUUCUCCAGGGGAUCUUCCGACCCAGGAAUCAAACCUGUGUCUCCUGUAUUGGCAGGUGGAUUAUCCACCUGUGGAAGCCCCUACAUAUUAGUAGUUAGCAGGUAACUUAUUCCACCUGGGGGUGGUUUUAGUCUCUGAAAGACAACUCAAGGAUAUGGCUCAGGAUAUUAUCUACAGACCUUGAGAAGGAACUAAAGGUUUUGACUUUGUUUUAUGGCUGAACAAUUAUUAUUUUGUCUUACUUGGCUGUUUUCCUUUGUUUCUGUAUUUUCUUACUCCUCUGAUUAAAUUUGUUCUUUGGGACUCAGGGAGACCUAGAAGGUAAAGCAAGAGGUGGGGGUCAUGGUGGGUAUCUAUCUUACUUGUUUUUCAUGAUUUAAUGACUUAUCAUAUCUGUUUUCUAGUCCAUAGAGUCAGUUUGGUGUUUUUUUGUUUGUUUGUUUUUCUGAAGGAAUAUAAGUGUCUGCAUAAACACCCAAAAACAUGUGGUUGCGUUUAGACCUUAUGUGCGGUUUUGGUUUUCAGUGGAUAAGCGAAAAAAUUAUAGUGCUCCUUGCUUAUUGUUCAUUGCAAUAACCUUGCCAUAUACCAGUGGAGGAAAGGAAAUCUUGGGCAAAAUUGUGCAGUUCUCUUUGUGGGCUGUUUGGUGAAUUCUAACAACCCCUCCCCUAUCGUUACUUCGAGUGUCAUGGAAACUGCUGUACAGUCUGCAGUGAUUAGACAUCAUCCCCUGCAGUCCACAGGGUCACAAAGAGUCACAUGUGACUCAGAGGCUAAACCAUCACCACCACCCUGCACCCUGGUUAAGUAUUCUCUGCAUAUACACUUUGUACUGUUUUUUUCUACCUAACGUCAUGAGCAUUUUCCCCGUGUCAUUAAGCAUUUCUCAAAAUUGAAUUAUUAGUGGCUGCUGUGAGACAAUAGAAAAUAUAUGGUCUCUGUCUUCUGUUUAUAGUACAAAGGUCCUUAGACUCUUGUAAUUUCCUAAUUGAUAGGAGCAUCUUUUGUUCUAAUAUUUGGUCUUUGACCCUCAUCUGUGACACAGAGUUCCUGAAACCCUUGCAAUUUCCUGGAUGGUAGGAGUGUCUUUUGUUCUAAUGAAGUGACUCUGAGUGAUCUCCUGGGUGGCUUCUUGAUGAGGGCUUGUCACCAGAAAGACCAAGCUUAAAAUCUCCAGCCCCAAACCUUCAUUUCUAUUGAGAUCAGGGAGAAGGGUUGAAAAUGGACUUAGUGAUCAAUCAUGCCUAUGUGAUGAAGCCUCUAUUUUAAAAAAUCCCGGAAAUAUGAGGCUUGGCGAGCUUCCAGAUGGGUGAACACUUCCACACUGGCAGGGUGACACACUUCUGACUUUAAGGGGACAAAAGUUCCUGCACCCAGAGCCCUCCCUGUGUAUCUCUUUAUUUAGCUGUUCAUCUGUAUCCUUUAUCAUAUUCUUUAAUAAACUGACAUGUUUAAGUAAGUGUUUCCCUGAAUUCUGUGAGCCACUCUAGCAAAUUAAUCAAACUGAGGAAGGAGUCAGGGCAGAGAACCUCCAAUUUGUAGCCAAAUUGGACAGAAGUUGUGGGUUACCUGGGGGCCUACUAUGCAGUUGGCAUCUGAAGUGAGUUGGGAGUAGCCUUACAGGUCUGAGCCCUUAACCUGUGGGGUCUGGUUAUCUCCAGGUAAAUUAGAUCGUAUGAUACCCAACUGCCGUUGAAGAAAAUUACUUGACGUGGUGAAAAACCCAUAUGCAUUUGGUGACUGGAAGUGUCAGAAGUGAUGUAUGCUAAGCAGUAAACGAGACUCACAAUAGAGAACCACAGUAGAGAAGAAAUGGAUUCUUCCCUAUUCGGGAAGAAAGCUGUAGGUGUUUUCUAGUGUUUCAGCUGCAUAACAUGUCAUUGUGUGGCUGUGUCAGCAUUUAGUUAACCAUUCCCGCGAAUCUGGGCACUAAGGGUCCCCUCCCCCCAGGUUUUUCAUUGCUAUAAAUAACACAGUGAUAAAUCUCAUUGUAAAUGGAUCUUUGUGUGCAUUUCUAAUCUUUCCUUCCAAUAAAUUGCCAAAGGUGAUUCUAGGAGGUCAAAGGGAAUGAACACUUUUACAGAAUUGUAUUGCUUAUUGCCAAGUUCCAGACCUUUAGAAUGCCAGUGCAUUUGCUGGUAACAGUUGUAAAUAUCCUCUCCAGACCUUCAUGUUUCGUAAAGCUUUGUCAUGAUGACCAAAAUAUCAAAAACUGAAAUAAAUUCAGGAUCCAAAACUACUGUUCACUCACCCCUACCUAAUUCUGACUGUGUUGGAUCCUAUCUUUAUUUCAAAUUGUGAUAUUUUGUGUCUCAUGGGUUGUUUUGCAUUAAUCUUGACUUUUAAAAAAUUGUAUUAAAAUAUUAUUUAUCUUGAUUACUGAGGUUGUUGGUAUCCUUUAUAUUUCCCCC
ensembl:lincRNA